rnacentral:lncRNA from 1 species
GCCUCUCUGACUCGCGUUCCUCAUUCUCCUUGUGGUGGGAGACACGGCGUGGGAAUGCGCUCCUGUCACUGGCUACUGUUGUAAAGAGGCAGCUUAUUCUUUCUCAAAAGCUGAUAAUAUUUUGUGCUCUUUUGCCUGUCGACAUAGCAUCUGUGCUUUACAAAGGUGGCAUUCCUUUACUGAGCCACGUGGACCUUCAUGAGGAUCAGUGAGUGAAGGGAUGUGAGCUCGCUUACACUCGAACACUCGUCGUAUUGAUUAUGUAAUAAAUCCAAGUGCCUUGAUGUCCGUUUUUUUUCUGCACAGCACAUUGGAAAAUCCAAUUGUUGAAUGACAGAUUCCGUUCAUUAAGUUCAAUUCUUGAUUGUUGGAGUACGAUUUCCUAGUCAAGCGUAGUAAGAUGUUGUUAUGUUUUCGACAAGAAUGACCUGGACAUUAUCGUGAGUGUGAUGAGAAAUAUAAAACUGAGACCCAACCAGAAGAAUUGUCAAAGAAAGACCCAUGGCAGCCAUGAAGAAAACCAGGACAAAGAAAUGCCUCCAGACUCCGAGACCACAGAAGACGAAGGUGGAGACCACAUUGAGACCAAAGAAGGAAGCAGAGGUAUUCAGAACCAGGCUAUGCAUGCAGGUACCAUGUCUUUUCCCAUCCUUGUCUCAAAUGCAUGAAGGAGAAUACAUGAAAUGCCAACAGUUUAAUGUGUG